AGUAUUGUGCCAGAGCUAUAUGGGCUUUGUUGAUGUCAAAGAAUACGAGAAAUUUUCUCCAAUGCUU
rnacentral:tRNA from 1 species